rnacentral:rRNA from 1 species
AGCGACGCCGCGUGAGGGAUGACGGCCUUCGGGUUGUAAACCUCUUUCACCAGGGACGAAGCGGAAGUGACGGUACCUGGAGAAGAAGCACCGGCCAACUACGUGCCAGCAGCCGCGGUAAUACGUAGGGUGCGAGCGUUGUCCGGAAUUACUGGGCGUAAAGAGCUCGUAGGCGGUUUGUCGCGUCGUCUGUGAAAUUCUGCAACUCAAUUGCAGGCGUGCAGGCGAUACGGGCAGACUUGAGUACUACAGGGGAGACUGGAAUUCCUGGUGUAGCGGUGAAAUGCGCAGAUAUCAGGAGGAACACCGGUGGCGAAGGCGGGUCUCUGGGUAGUAACUGACGCUGAGGAGCGAAAGCGUGGGUAGCGAACAGGAUUAGAUACCCUGGUAGUCCACGCCGUAAACGGUGGGUACUAGGUGUGGGUUCCUUUUCACGGGAUCCGUGCCGUAGCUAACGCAUUAAGUACCCCGCCUGGGGAGUACGGCCGCAAGGCUAAAACUCAAAGGAAUUGACGG